rnacentral:rRNA from 1 species
UACGUAGGGGGCAAGCGUUGUCCGGAAUCAUUGGGCGUAAAGAGCGCGUAGGCGGCCCUGUAAGUCCGCUGUGAAAGUCAAGGGCUCAACCCUUGAAUGCCGGUGGAUACUGCAGGGCUAGAGUCCGGAAGAGGCGAGUGGAAUUCCUGGUGUAGCGGUGAAAUGCGUAGAUAUCUGGAGGAACACCGGUGGCGAAGGCGGCAUCCUGGACCGGUAUUGACGCUGAGGCGCGAAAGCUAGGGGAGCAAACGGG